CCUACGGGAGGCAGCAGUGAGGAAUAUUGGUCAAUGGACGAGAGUCUGAACCAGCCAAGUAGCGUGAAGGAUGACUGCUCUAUGGGUUGUAAACUUCUUUUAUAUGGGAAUAAAACGUUCCACGUGUGGGAUUUUGUAUGUACCAUAUGAAUAAGGAUCGGCUAACUCCGUGCCAGCAGCCGCGGUAAUACGGAGGAUCCGAGCGUUAUCCGGAUUUAUUGGGUGUAAAGGGAGCGUAGGUGGAUUGUUAAGUCAGUUGUGAAAGUUUGCGGCUCAACCAUAAAAUUGCAGUUGAAACUGGCAGUCUUGAGUACAGUAGAGGUGGGCGGAAGUCGUGGUGUAGCGGUGAAAUGCUUAGAUAUCACGAAGAACUCCGAUUGCGAAGGCAGUUCACUGGACUGCAACUGACACUGAGGCUCGAAAGUGUGGGUAUCAAACAGGAUUAGAUACCCGAGUAGUC
rnacentral:rRNA from 1 species